rnacentral:hammerhead_ribozyme from 1 species
AUUCAGCUGACGAGUCCUAAAUAGGACGAAACGUGCAUCCUGGAU